GCCGUACAACAAUGGUGGACUUAUGAAUCGUGUCAGGUCUGGAAGGAAGCAGCACUAAGUAUGCUCCAUCAUGUGUUGUAUGUACAU
rnacentral:SRP_RNA from 1 species